AGAUCUUCAAAAAAUUGCUAUAGAAGCGAAUGUGGAUGUACUAUGAGCCUUUGUUCUUAAUGACUUGAGUCAUGGCAGCAACAGCACCUGAGGCUGAGGAAUCACAAUUUGAUGCUCGUCAAUAUGACACCAAAAUUAAUGAAUUGUUGCAAGAUGCUAGUGCUAUGGUACUCCAUUUAU